CGUCGUGGGUUCCGUUGUCUCAGCCAGUUUUUCCAGAAAUAAAAUCUGCUGCUCAAACGACUAAACAGGUCGUUACAGAUAAAUAGAUAAUCUAGUUCAUAAUAAUCUAAUAUAAAUUUAAUCAAUUAUGAAUAUGAUAGGAAGGAAUAAUUGAAAAACCCCGUAUAACAACAAACAUGACCACAUACAUACAUGACGGAAUGAUAAAAAAUUAUGAAACUUUAAUCUUAAAUAUACUUCAAGGUAUAGAAAUAAUUGAACUAAGAAGAAUAAUAUGGAAAAAAAUAUUUAAUGAUAACGAACCGGAAGAUAUGUUAAAUCAACAAUGGUAUGAAAUAUACUUACGAGAUUUAGACUAUGAAAAAUAGAAUGGUAUGAUUUAGAAAUAAAUUCAGAUUAAAAUGAACUAUGAAUAUUCACAAUAUUGGAUAGAAUCUAUGGAAUAUAUAAAAUUAUUAGAACAAUUCAUUGAGGAAAAUUUAUAUAUGUACAAAAUUCCCAAGACAUGUUAUAACAAGGAUAUAGCAUAAAUAAUAUUAAAGAAAUAGUUACAUUAAAACAACGAACGAAUUUAUUAACUACCAAUUCCAACCAUACAAAAAUGGUUAUGUGGCCAAGCACGUUUUUGUGUUUCCUUUUAUCUUCAUCUUUAUCUUCUUGUCAUUUUCUUUUAUCUUCAUCUUUAUCUUAUUGUCAUCUUUCGUCUUUAUCUUUUAUCUUCUUGUCAUAUUCUGUCUUUAUCUCUUAUUGCAGCUGGACGUCUAGCAUUAUAUUAUAUUCUCUAUUUCUUUUUAAAUAUAUGUGAUCAGAGUAUUUGUGAUCAAUUAGCUUGCAAUAUCUUGUUAAUAAUUUUUUCGACAUAAAUCCAAAUUUGAGUGCUCGUGUUGUAGGUCAUUCUUCUAGCAUAAGCUAUCUGCGUAUGUAGAAGUUUGUGGUUCUGUAGUUUGGUGUUAGCCUCGAGGUGUUUUCCAAUGUCACCGUUUAGUUCUGGAUUCUUUCUGUCUUCCGAUUGACAUAGUUUCGCAUUUUUAUAGUCAUGCUGCUGACUUAUGCUAGCUUUAGACUUCAGAUUAUCUUCAUUAGUCUUAGCUUUUGUAUCUCGUUGUCCGUACUAUCCACUUUUGUACAAAGUGUAGUAAUAGCUUCGAGUAUCUUUUCAAUUGUAUCUUCUCCCUUAGUCUCAGUCUGAGUAGCUUUGUCGUGAUAAGUAAUCUGCAAUAACAUUCUUAUCAUUUUUUAUUACUUCAAUUGUAAAUGUAAAAUUUAAUAUAUUUAAUACUAAUCUCUUUAUUUCUUUUACUGUUACUAAAUUUUGUAUUUUUCUUGUUUGUCACCGUUUUACUUGUGUAUUAUCUGUAAUUAUAAUGAUUUUGUUAUAUACAAUAUAUGGUUCAAAUGAUAAUUAACACUUAUAUACUGAAUAUAAUUCUUUUUUAUUUAUUUUUCAUUUUAUUUCUGUAUUAUUAAAUGUUCCUGAAUAAUAUCAGCAAUGAUAUUCUAUUGUAUUGGCAUCAUAUUUGUAUUUUAGUAUUCCUCCAUAACUUUUUUCACUUGCAUCUGAUUCUAUUAUAUAAGUAAUUUUUUUGUUUUCCUCAGGAAAGUAUAGUUUAGGUAAGUUUUUACAUAAUACUUUAACUUUCGUAUCUGUAUUUGGUCUUUUUUAUCAAACUGAUAUUUCAUAUCUUUCUUUAAUUUUUGUUGUGAUGAUUUUAAUUUUUUUGCCAAUUUUGGUAUGUAUUCUCUUACUUGAUUUACUAGGUCUAAGAAUGAUUGUAAUUUCCUUUUUGUGUGUAGUUGUUCAUUUGAGUUAAUUAUUUUUUGUACUAUAUGUGUUUGCAUUUUUCUUCCGUUUUUAUCUGUAUAUAUUCUUAAGAAUUCUAUUUGAUUUUUCAUUAUAUCUGCUUUCUUUUUACUUAGACUUAUACCCGAAUAUUCUAUUAUAUGUAUAAAUUUUUUUAAUAAUCUUACAUGUUCAUCUUGUAUUUUGGAAUAUAAUAGUAUAUCAUCAAUCUAAACAAUACAAUUUUUUAUUUUUUUAAGGGAUAAUGCACAAGUACCCCCUCAACCUAUGCCCGAAAUCCCAGAGACACA